GACAGAGGGUGCAACCGUUGUUCGGAAUUACUGGGCGUAAAGCGCGUGUAGGCGGCUAAGUAAGUCGGGCGUGAAAUCCCACGGCUCAACCGUGGAAGUGCACUCGAAACUGCAUAGCUAGAGUCCUGGAGAGGAAGGUGGAAUGCUUGGUGUAGAGGUGAAAUUCGUAGAUAUCAGGAGGAACACCGGUGGCGAAGGCGGCUCUCUGGACGGAUACUGACGCUGAGGCGCGAAAGCGUGGGGAUCAAACAGG
rnacentral:rRNA from 1 species